CGUUGUAUAGACUUAUUAGUAAAUAAAACUAGUAAUGUCGAUGACAAAUUGUAUACCAAGACACAAUAAUAAAUAUACUUGUAGAUGUUUACAUACAUACGUGUAUGUAAAUAUGUGAAAAAAUGCAUUUAGGCUUGUAAUCUCUCCAUGUACUUGAGCUGGUUUCUUUUAACCGAUUGAUUGUUCCAAAUAAAAUAAACAAGUGUUCAUGUGUGUAUGGAUGAACGUACAAUCGAACCAAUAGUGGGUGGUUGUCUAGCGCUAGCUAACCCUGCAGCAAAAGAACUGUCUCAAAUAAUUAUUCUCACCUCAAAACAUGGGUAAUUAAAAUUUCCUUAGACUAUUAAGGGUGCCGUCAGAUGCAUGUUGUGUUUAACUGGCUUAUUCGUCGGGUCUCACUUAGGUUAUAUUGCGUUCAUAGUCUUGCCGGGCACACUACACAUGAUCAAACUGGUUUGCUACACCGUUAACAUUGCCGUUGGUGGAUCCUGUAGCCAAUCUGAUAUCGUGACCCUAAAUUUCCUGCACUUCUUGUUUUUAAUCAAAUACAUAUAAUAUUAACAGCAUGCGGCGCCAAUAGCCAAUGCUCCGUUGACAGUUCU